rnacentral:lncRNA from 1 species
GGCGUUUUAUCAUAGCAAUAGGAAGACAUAAGUAGACAUUGUUAACAUUCCUUCUGCUGCUCCAUUCUAAGGUAAAAUAUGUGAUUUUCAGUGCCAUCUUGUUUGGGAGCAGUCUUAUGACUGUCUACCAUCCUGGUUGUGGGCAGAAAAGGUUUUCCUAUAAUAUUGCUUCAGUGCCAUCUUAGCUAAGGGCAGUCAUGCGAGUGGCUAUAACUUCAGUGCCAUCUUUGUUAUGGACAGUUCCCACCUCACUGCCUGCUCACCUUAAGACAAAAUGACCUAAGGUCUCCAAAGACACUUCACUUAAGAUAACGUUGACAUAUGAUUUCUAUCCUGCCUUGAUAAAUGAUUUUAAUAUUAAUUUAAAGAUUUACAACAGUAAAAGGGUUAAAGACUACUGUCUUAAAGAUGUGUUUAGCUUUGUUUUUGCUACUGAUAUUACUGUCAUUAAGUUACAAUGUUCUCUCUUUAUUUACUAGAUAUAUUCUAGCACAAAUAAUUAAACAAACAUAGAUUGUUUAACUCAGAUCAUUACCUUAAGUUAAAAACUACUGCCUUAAAUAUACCUUUAGCCUUGUUUUUUUUUUUUUUUUUUUUUGCUGCUGCCAUUAAGUUGCAAUGUGUUCUUUCUUUGCUAGAUACGUUCUAAAACAAAUAAUUAAACAAACACAGGUUGUCUAACUCAGAUAUGCUUAAUAGAUCCUGGCUCCCAAUCUUGUCAGAAAUCUUCUAAAUGUAACGUUAAAUGCUUAAGCUUAUUGUGAUAGACAGAGACUCCCAAAGCCUAACAGCGACUCCCCGCUCCCCGCAAGGUCUCCGAGAAGAUAUUGGCACAGUGACAGGACUGCCUGCAUUGCGGUAUAAUAACCACUGAGAAGCACUGCUUCCUUGCCUUGCCCGCUGCCAGAGCUUGGCCUAAACUGUGGACAAACAAAAGGUAUGCAGAGAGUUAAAUGUCUCAUAUUGCCCAAGACAAGCUGAGUCAUUUCUCUCAUGCUCCUACUCCACAGGUAAAAACUCAUCUUCUGGGCCUGAUGGCCAGAUUAACUGCCCAAGCUAUGAUGGAGACCACAGGGGUCUGGGAAAACUGUCUAGGUAGUAGGCUAUAGGCCAACCUCUGUCGUUUUAAUUAGUACAUGACACCUAGAUUAUAAUUUAUUCUAACCAAAUUUCUAACUACAUUGACAGCUAAGCUAACUGUAGCUCGACAGCUAGGAAACAGACCCAGCUCCUUACCGCCAGGUAAUCCACGACUAUAUUAGCUCAUUAGUCAAUUUUUCUUUUUGUUUUUUGUUUUUUGAUUUUUUUCGAGACAGGGUUUCUCUGUGUAGCCCUGGCUGUCCUGGAACUCACUCCGUAGACCAGGAUGGCCUCGAACUCAGAAACCCGCCUGCCUUUGCCUCCCGAGUGCUGGGAUUAAAGGCGUGCGCCACCACGCCCGGCUAUUAGUCAAUUUGUUAACUUGUUAAGACUGUCAGAUUUAUUAUCAAAGACGCACAGAUUUCCCUUGAUCGCGGCUUCCUGAUGAAGGGCACACAAGUUCAGAUGCACGCUCUCACAGAUGUAGCCUUCUCUUACUCCCCCAAACUCAGCUCCCAGUGACUCAAUGCUCCAGAUUUCCUUUCCUUGCUAUGUCACUGUCCUAACACCAAUCAGUAUCGUUCUCAUAAAUGACCCUACGCUAAUACAGCAUUCCACUAACCGGGCCAACUGUGCAGUCACAAGUUCACAUUCUAAGUUUCCUUUGGUUGUCUUUUUAACUUUAGACUUAAAGUGUUUCUCAUGCUAAA